UCUUGGAACACCUACGGAAGCAGG
rnacentral:piRNA from 1 species